CCUUCUACCUAUUUGCUGGCAGGAAACAGGGUCUGGAAUUCGGGGGCAUUUAGAGCUUUUUAUUAACUUCCUGGGUUCUGGGAGGGUUGGGUUGCAUUUUCAUCCUUUCACUUCCACCCAAGAGAUAAAGGCGGGUCCGGGGCCUGAAAAUCCUCCGAAAAGGAAAUACUGGGCUGGGCCGAACACCAAAAAGACAGCUGAGGCCCCUUGCUCAGUGCUCCACACUUCCAACCCCACCACCUCUGGGCGCAUCAGUCCCUGCUUCCCACAUAUUAGAGUCCUGGCCAGGCUGCUGGGCCUCACCUAGCGCGCCCAGGUGGCUGUAGGUUUCCUAUGUCACGUGCAGGUUCAGGACCCUCCGUGCGGGCCGCAGACACCCCCACUCCUCCCGGGAGAAGUACACGGCCACGUCCACGAUCCUCACAGCCCCUGGGAGGCUUUCCCUCGAAGCCCGGAACCGGCCUUCCCUGGCACCUCAGCCACAGAGAACAAGAGCCGGGGGCGGAGCCAUGGGCAAACCCUUUGGUGCUUCGCAGAGGCUUCCGGGAAAUGUGGAAAUGUUCUGCCGUUUCCGCCCUUCCUCAGGAAAAGUUCUUCAAGCCCCACAGCCCUGCCCUUAACCAAGAUGGCGUCCCUCCGACCUCAGCAUCCCUUACGUUUCCUAUUUGCCCUGAAGUACCAAGGGGCAAACCGGAAAGGAGGUUGGACUCCAGGGAGUAACCCGCCGAUAGAUGACGUGUGUUGAUUGGACAGUACCGGUCAACAGGAGAAGAAUGAAGGCUGUGAUUGGCCUUUCCGAGGCGGCCGGUUUGAAAGACCGAGAGGAAAGGAUCCACAGGUCCGAAGGUGGCCAGCGGUGAAGGGGCGGCGGGCUCUCUCCUUAUCUGGCUUUUCUGGGACAAGAAUCUAGAGAGAGAGAGAUUCUGACGAGUAAGUUCUGGAUCAAGACGGUGGAGCAGGAAGAUGUUGAGUUCAUCUCCCAGGACCCUGCAAAACAACAGCUGCUUAUAGAACAGCUAUCCCUGAGAGCUGACCAGAAGACUACUAUCAGGACAGGUUUUUCUACAACUAAGGAUAUAAGGAAAAGGCCACCUUGAGAAGCCCCCCACAGAUGCUGUACUGGAACGUGGCCACCAACAGCUCCCAUGUUUUAUGAGUUACAAAAUGCAGGCCAAAGAAAUGUCUCGGAUUCCUAGGAAACUCCUGCCCGAACUUGGGUGAAAGGCACCGGAAGAUGCCUUCGGGGAAAAUGGCGGCGCCGCUACUGCACCGCCUUUGCCUGAAACACAGGCAGCUUCCAGCUAUCGAUUUUAUUGACCGGAGCGCCAUGCCGGCUUCCUAACCUCUUUGCCCUCAAGUGUGAUGGCGCUGCGAUUGGGCUUCACGCCCUUUUUCCCCCAUUCCACGAGCUCAUUGGGCGGCGACCGAAGAUCGAGCAUUCUGAUUGGGUGAUGCCAAAAGCGGCCUGUUUAAAUGAAGCCAACGGAAACGUAAGGGCAGGGAGUUGGACUCGGCGUUAGGCGACUGCCGUGAGUCUGGAGGCGCCAAGGGCGACCCCACUUGGGAUCUGUAAAGAUCCCCCGAUAAGCCGAGGUAGGGAAGGAUUUGUGCGACGGAGCCACUCUGGCCAACCCGGGUCUGAGAUUUCCCUGGUUUGCCUUAUAGUGGCUUUCUCAGAGAAGCCUUCGAGGCAGAUAGCGUGUAACUACCUUGUGGCCUUUUAGGGAGGAGAAUUGGGCUCAAGUACCACGCCCAGCACAUCACACAUUUCGUCUUAUUUAUUUUUUGUUACCAUUGUGUGAAGGGAUGAUUAUCAACCUAGUUCUACUAACUAAGAAAAUCUCAGAGGGGUCCUGCUAGUAAGGAAAGCGAGCAAAGAUUUUGUCCAUUGAAAAAAAACGCAGGACCUAAAAAUUGCACGUUGGGGACUUUGCUGAGCACUGCAACCUCCCAGAUAGCUCCGAGGAACUGCUCCAGAGAGGCAGGAGCCAGGAUAUAUAGCAGUUUUUCCUGAAAAAAAUAGAAGUUUUAUUCUUUAUAAAACUUCACACACACACACACACACACAGCCACGCGACAUUUAGCCAUCGAUUUUGUUGAGGCCUGGUUAUACAUUGGCUAAUGCAAGAGGCAUUAAUCUUAUAAAACACAAUACACAAGAUAUAAGUAAUAUAGAUAAUAACAUUAAUAUGUUCAUAGGAGUUCCUGCUAUGGCACAGUGGGUUAAGAAUCUCACUGCAGGAGUUCCCAUCAUGGCUCAGUGGUUAACGAAUCUGACUGGGAACCCUGAGGUUGUGAGUUCGAUCCCUGGCCUUGCUCAGUGGGUUAGGGAUCCGGCAUUUCCAUGAGCUGUGGUGUAGGUUGCAGACACGGCUCGGAUCCCCGCGUUGCUGUUGCUGGAUUGGACCCCUAGCCUGGAACCUCCAUAUGCCGCAGGAGCGGCCCAAGAAAUGGGAAAAAAAAAGACCAAAAAAAAAAGAAUCAUCACACUGCAGCUGCUCAAGUUGCUGCCCAGGUAUGGGUUCAAUCCCCAGUCAGAUGCAGUGAAUCCUGUGUGCGGCAUAGGUCUCAGAUGCAGCUUGGAUUCAACUGCCAACCUGGAAACUUCCAUAUAACGCAGUUUUGUCUGUUUAAAAAAAAAAAAAGAAGCGUUCUCGUGGCUCAGCAGUGAUGAACCUGACUAGUAUCCAUGAGGACUUGGGUUCGAUCCCUGGCCUUGGUCAGUGGCUUAAGGAUCUGGCGUUGCCAUGAGCUGCAUUGUAGGUCACAGAUGUACUCGAUCCCAUGUUACUGGGGCUGUGGUGUAGGCCUGCAGCUGUAGCUCCAAUUCGACCCCUAGCCUGGGAAUCUCCAUAUGCCGCACCUGCAGCUGUAAAAAGAAAAAAACAAAACCCAAAGCAACCUGCAGUAAGCCUUCAUUGAGUUCUACUCUGUCCAAGGAUGGUGACUGUUACCUGAACAAAUUACUGGGGAAGCACGUGGAAUUCCAUGAUUGUCCCCCAAAAGGCAGAGUCCCUCCUCCUAAUAGCUUUCCAGAUCGCUAACUCAGUGGGACCAAUGACUUUGGUCUAUGAACAGGUAGGAUGUAAGGAGAGCAGUGCUGUUCGAUAUACAUUUGUUGACUAAACACCUGAAUUCCAUGGCUGUGAAAUCUCGGGCACAAGGCAGAACUUCAGGAAAGUUCUAAUGUAGUACAGGAUACACUUAGGGUAACACUGGAGGACUGGAAGGGGAGGUUGGUGCAGGGCUUCAUCCUGUACAUCGGGGAGCUCUAGAUCAGUCUAGAGAAACAAAUGACCUUUCAUUGAUGUUUUAGUAAGACUGCGCCGGGAGUCUGCAAGAUGAACUGAUAGCUUUGUGCCUACUCUCUCUGCACACACAUACUUCUGCUUGGAGAAAUAAGAAUGUAAACUUAGGCUGCAAAAGGAAUAAAAAGGCAAAUGAAUAGCAAAAAUUUCUUUUUGUUUGUUUGGGGUUUUUUUGUUUGUUUUGUCUUAUUGGGGUUUUUUUUGUUGUGCCCACAGCAUAUGGAAGUUCCUAGGCCAGGGAUCGAACCUGUGCCACAGCAGCAACCCAAGCCACUGCAGUGACAACAUUGGAUCCUUAACUCACUGUACCACAAGGGAACUCCUGUGAAUCCAUUUCAUUUUGAAGGAAGAAAUGGACUAAAUAGAGGAGGCUAGAAAGGACCUAAUCUUCGUGGACAUUUUGCCCAAUUGGUAAUGAUGCGCUGCCAACUGAACACGGAGAAGAUGCUAACGUGGAAAAGGAAAGGAGAUGAUUAAAGCCUGAGCCGAGGAGUUCCUGAUGUGGCGUGGCAGAAACAAAGCCAACUAGGAAUCAUGAGGUUGCAGAUUCGAUUGCUUGGUCUCGCUCAGGGCGCUAGGCCCCCUUCCAACAUCCAGGAAGUGGGAAUGCAGGCUGGACAGAAUACUAAUUGGGUUUGUUGUUUUUUUUUUGUUUUUUGUUUUUUUUUUUUUUGGUCUUUUUAGGGCUGCACCAGCGGCAUAUGGAGGUUUCCAGUCUAGGGGCUGAAUCAGAUCUACAGCUGCUGGCCUCACCACAGCUUCAGCAACAUGGGAUCCGAGCUGUGUCUGUGAACUGCCGGAAGCAUCGGCCACAAUCUGGAUGUGCAUAGGGCUUGUCCCCGUGUGGAGCAGCUGGUGCUGGACCAGGUGAGCCCUCUGGGAGAACCGAACUCCGUAAGGCGCACAGACAUAAAGAUGGUCUCCGGGAUGGAUUCACUGGAUAUCUGACCAGCAUCGAGUGGGAAGCAAAGAGCCUUCCACAGUCUGGGCAGCGGAAAGGCUUCUCUCCAGUGUGCCCACGUGGAUAUGGACAGCCAGGGUGCCUCUUUGGCAGAAGCAACGUCCACACUGGUCUCAGGGGCAGGGCCGCUCCCCAGAGUGGACCCCCUGGUAGCUGACUAGGAAGGAGGGGUGGCUGAAAGAUCGGCUACAUUCCAGGCAGGGCUAGGGCCUCUUGGCAGUCUUAGCACGUUGGUGUCUGGUGUUGGCUGGGGACCUGAGGCAAAGAAUGGUCACAGUCCAUUAAGCCAGGGAGCAGCCUGGCCUUCAGUGGGGGGCCCGUUCCUCACAGGAGCAUCCUCAGGCUCCCUAGGCCGCUUCCUUCUUCUUUGUCUUGCUUCUAAAGAGACGAGAGAAUUGAAACUGAAGACUCAAGGGCUUGCAUCACCACACCUGUUUUCUCUCCAAAUGGGGAGGAGUGUGUGAAGGGGACAGCAGGUCCUGUUCAUCUGGCAGAGUCCCUUAUUUCUGAACCCCCAGUCUCAGCUGCCAUCAGCGGGUCCUCAUUCCAUGGGCAGAUGCCAUGCUUUUCCCCAUUCAGGGCUUGGAAAAUUGUGGUUUUGUCAGGAGGUGAGGGAUAGUUCUGCUUGUCAGAAAUAAGCCAUCACCAGCCAUGUUAAAGCCUUUAAGGAGUUCCUGCUGUGGCAUAAUGGGAUGGUUGCACUGGGAUGCAGGUUUGACUCCAACCCAGCACAGUGGAUUAAGGGUAGAGUAUUGCAGCUGUGGUUUGGAUCUGACCCCUGACUGGGGAACUGCAAAUGCCGUGGGCGGGGAGGCAAAAAAGAAAGCCCUUAAAGGUAGGCAUUUGUGACUCAGCGGUAAUGAACCGGACAAGUAUCCAUGAGGACGUGGGUUUGAUCCCUGGCCUCAGUCAGUGGGUUAAGGAUCCAGCGUUGCCAUAAGCUGUGGGGUAGGUCUUAGACGCGGGUCGGAUCUGGUAGGUUGCUGUGGCUGCGAGCUUCCAUAUGCCACAGGUUCAGCCCUAAAAAAACAAACAAAGGAAACAUCAGUCACCACCUGAGCAAACAGUCCUGGCUGCACAGCGAACUUCUAGCCCUUUUUAGAGGCGUGCAGACCCUCUGGGCACACAGCGAAGGGAGGCACAUACGUUCUAUGCCCAGCUUCUCCCCCAUCUCACUAUCCUUGAUCCAAGGAAGGCACCAGGUCUGACAAAGGGAACUUUGGAAGAGAAGGUUCAGAGGAUUCUUACCAACUGGGGCCUGCAAGAGAGGCUGCGUGUGUGGAGCGGCUGCUGGACUCACUCCCGAGACAGGCUGACUUCCAGCUCAGCUCCGCUUUCCUCGCCUAUCCCAGAACCUGGGUGCCUCGCCCCUUCUUGGGAUCUUCAGCCUCCGGUCUCCACACUUCCUUCCUUCCCUCCAUCCAGGAGAUGAGGGCAGGUUUGAGGCCUGCAAAUCCUAAGGGAGAAGAGGCCAGCAAGCCAAGGCGGAGACACGGAGCCUAAAGAAGGUCUUCCUCUGCAAAGGUGGGAUGCAACCUCCUGAUCCCUCAGAGAGAAGACCCUCCCCAACAGCAGAUAUUCUCCCAGGCGCGUCAGGACUCAAACCUAAGGGUCUUCAGAUGACAAAAAGUUUGAGUGCGAGGGCCGGGCCUUGCCGAGCGCACCCAGGUGGCGAUAGAUCUCCCGCAUCACGUCCCGGUCCAGGGCCCUCUGCGCAGGCCGCAGACAGCCCCACUCCUCCUGGAAGAAGUACGCGGCCACGUCUGCGAACUUCACUGCACCUGGUCUCCCUUGCCCAGGCCAAGCCUCCCCCAUGCCCGCCGGUGGGGAGCGGGACGGGGUGGGGGGGCGCCAUAGCACCAUCGCUUUCCCCAGGGUUCGCCGGGGUGGCGGCGGGGGGUGGGGUGGUCAGGUAUUGGACGCAGCGGAGCCGAAGCUGGCCGAUCUUCGGACCCAGAGCGCCGCCAAGGAGGCCUGAAUGGCACAAGGAUGAGUCUCUUUGGGUCCCAGUUAUUCCUACGGGUCCUGCAAGCACCCGGGUUAGAGCCCAGGAAGAUGCCUUCCGGCGCCGCGGAGGCGCGGUUGACGCGAUCCACCACUAGGCGGCGCCUGGCCCGAAAUUCUUCGCCCUCAGGGGUCCUGGCGCUGCUGAGCUUCACGCCCGUCUUCCUUUUGCGCUCGAUUAUUGGCUGGCGCGCGGCUGACCGCAAAGAGCCAGCGUCCUAAUUGGGUUUCAGCGAAUCGUUCCCGUUAGAAGGAAGCCGGCGAUAGCGAAAAGGGCAGGCCCUCUUCCCGGAGUUCCAGAGCUCCCCCCGCCCGCCCCACUGUUGAGCACCUGCCCGGCGCCUGGCGUUGUGCUGUGUGGUGGUGCCAAGGGACAGCAAGGCAGCUCUGCUGCCCAAGAGCUCACAGCAACGGCCUUCUCCCGGCCCCGCGCUCGGCCCCACUGUCACCAGAACCCCUUCUGCAUUGCUCUGGGGCUCCCUGCCUCCUUUACACCCAGACUUGGACGACGAUUAAAUAUUUAUUAAGCCUAUUGGUUUGAGCACAGUUAUAGGCCCUAAGUAGAGAGCAAGGAGCUCAGUGUUCUCAGCCGCGGAGGUCACAUUCUUCUCCACAGCUUUACAGAUGCUCAUAUCUCUACUGGACUUGACUCAAAGUUUAGUCUUGAGGGAACUCCCUGGCACUCUAGUGGCUAGAGUUUGGUGCUCUCAAAGUCCAAUCCCUGGUGAGGGAACUGAGAUUUUGCUUCAAGCUGCCGCAGGCCGGGGGGCCACCCUACAGCCACUGGAGCUCAGUACAGGAGGUUGAUGGUGGGGGAGGAUGUAGGAGAGGGCAGAGGAAUUUGGGGAUUCUCUGUUCAUCCAGCUCAUUUCUACUGUGAACCCUAAACUACACCCAGAGGAUUAAAAUAAAAUCUAUUAAGUCUUAAAAUUUUUAAAAAUAAUGAUUCGUGCUACAACAUGAAUGAACUUUUAAAAUAUACCAUGUGAGAGAAGCUGGAUAUAAAAAACCACAUGUCUUAUAAUUCUGUUUAUAUAUGUAUAUGAAAAGUCCAGAAAAAGCAUAUCUAUAGAGACAGAAAGCAGAUUAGUAGUUGUCAAGGGCUGGAGGAGGGGAGACGGGGGAGGGAUGGUAGGAGUUUCUUUCUGGGAUGAUGAAAAUGUGCUAAGUUGAUUUUGGUGAUGGUUUCAAACUCUGAACAUAUUAAAAAAGAUUGAAUUGUACACUUUAAAUGGGGCAAAUUAUAUGAUAAUGUGAAUAAUAUCUUAAGGGCCAAAACUGCACAUAUGGGAGUUCCCAGGCUAGGGGUCAAAUCAGAGCUGUAGCCGCUGGUUUACGCCACAGCCAUAGCAACUCGGAAUCCAAGCCUCAUCUGCAACCUACACCAGAGCUCAUGGCAACACCAGAUCUUGACCCACUGAGUGAGGCUAGGGAUUGAACCUGUACCCUCAUGGAUACUAGUCAGGUUGGUAACCUGCUGAGCCACAAUAUUAUUCCUAUGAAUAACAUCUUAAUAGAAUCUUUUAAAAAAUACGUCGUAGGAGUUCCCGUCGUGGCGCAGUGGUUAACGAAUCUGACUAGGAACCAUGAGGUUUCGGGUUCGGUCCCUGCCCUUGCUCAGUGGGUUAACGAUCUGGCGUUGCCGUGAGCUGUGGUGUAGGUUGCAGACGUGGCUCGGAUCCCGCGUUGCUGUGGCUCUGGCGCAGGCCGGUGGCUACAGCUCCGAUUCAACCCCUGGCCUGGGAACCUCCAUAUGCCGCGGGAGCGGCCCAAAAGAAAUAGCAACAACAACAACAAAAAAAAAAAA